GACGAACGCUGGCGGCGUGCUUAACACAUGCAAGUCGAGCGAUGAAGCACCUUCGGGUGUGAAUUAGCGGCGAACGGGUGAGGAACACGUGAGAAAUCUGCCUUCAACACUGGGAUAACUCCGGGAAACCGGGGCUAAUACCGGAUAUGAAACCUGCGGGCAUCCGCGGGUUUGGAAAGUUUUUCGGUUGAAGAUGAUCUCGCGGCCUAUCAGCUUGUUAGUGAGGUAAUGGCUCACCAAGGCGACGACGGGUAGCCGGCCUGAGAGGGCGACCGGCAACACUGGGACUGAGACACGGCCCAGACUCCUACGGGAGGCAGCAGUGGGGAAUAUUGGGCAAUGGAGGAAACUCUGACCCAGCGACGCCGCGUGCGGGAUGAAGGCCUUCGGGUUGUAAACCGCUUUCAGCAGGGAAGAAGCGAAAGUGACGGUACCUGCAGAAAAAGCACCGGCUAACUAUGUGCCAGCCGCCGCAGUAA
rnacentral:rRNA from 1 species